rnacentral:rRNA from 1 species
AUGACACGAGAAAUCGCAAUGACCAAACAACCACCACAGACACAUACUCAGGAACAACAGGAUGAACAUCCACAACUACAUGGCACCAUCAUGUCAUCCGAGUCCCACCACCAGCCCAAGCGCAAGAUCACCCUGAUUCCGCUCGUCUUCCUGAUCUACUUCGAGGUGGCAGGCGGCCCAUACGGCUCCGAGCAGGCGGUCCGCGCGGCGGGGCCGCUCUUCACUCUGCUUGGCUUCCUCAUCUUCCCCCUGGCGUGGGGUGUCCCGGAGUCGCUCGUCACCGCCGAGCUCGCUGCUGCCUUCCCAGGCAACGGCGGCUUCGUCCUGUGGGCGGAACACGCCUUCGGCCCGCUCGCAGGUUCCCUCCUUGGCACGUGGAAGUACCUCAGCAUCACCAUCAACAUCGCCGCCUACCCGGCCCUCGUCGUCGACUACCUCGGCGGCGUGGCCCCCGCGAUCGCGGAGCCCGGCAGGGCGCGCACGGGCGCGGUGAUCGGCAUGACGCUACUCCUCUCCUUGCUGAACUACGCCGGCCUGAGCGUCGUCGGGUGGGGCGCCAUGGUGCUCGGGGUAGUGUCGCUGGCCCCGUUCGGGCUGAUGACAGCCAUGGCGGUGCCCAAGUUACGGCCGCGCCGGUGGGCAUCGCAGGUGGAGGGGAGGAAGAAGGACUGGAGGCUCUUCUUCAACACCUUGUUCUGGAACCUCAACUACUGGGACAGCGCGAGCACCAUGGCCGGCGAGGUAGAGCGGCCAGGGCGGACGUUCCCGCGGGCCCUGGCGGCGGCGGUCGUUCUCAUCGCCGUCAGCUACCUGUUGCCGCUCAUGGCCGCGAUCGGCACCACGGACGCAUCACCGGAUGCGUGGGUGAACGGCUACCUGGCAGAUGCCGCAGGUACGUACAAAGGCUUAUGA